rnacentral:rRNA from 1 species
AGAGUUUGAUCCUGGCUCAGGACGAACGCUGGCGGCGUGCCUAAUACAUGCAAGUAGAACGCUGAAGAGAGGAGCUUGCUCUUCUUGGAUGAGUUGCGAACGGGUGAGUAACGCGUAGGUAACCUGCCUUGUAGCGGGGGAUAACUAUUGGAAACGAUAGCUAAUACCGCAUAACAAUGGAUGACACAUGUCAUUUAUUUGAAAGGGGCAAUUGUUCCACUACAAGAUGGACCUGCGUUGUAUUAGCUAGUAGGUGAGGUAAUGGCUCACCUAGGCGACGAUACAUAGCCGACCUGAGAGGGUGAUAGGCCACACUGGGACUGAGACACGGCCCAGACUCCUACGGGAGGCAGCAGUAGGGAAUCUUCGGCAAUGGGGGCAACCCUGACCGAGCAACGCCGCGUGAGUGAAGAAGGUUUUCGGAUCGUAAAGCUCUGUUGUAAGUCAAGAACGGGUGUGAGAGUGGAAAGUUCACACUGUGACGGUAGCUUACCAGAAAGGGACGGCUAACUACGUGCCAGCAGCCGCGGUAAUACGUAGGUCCCGAGCGUUGUCCGGAUUUAUUGGGCGUAAAGCGAGCGCAGGCGGUUUGAUAAGUCUGAAGUUAAAGGCUGUGGCUCAACCAUAGUUCGCUUUGGAAACUGUCAAACUUGAGUGCAGAAGGGGAGAGUGGAAUUCCAUGUGUAGCGGUGAAAUGCGUAGAUAUAUGGAGGAACACCGGUGGCGAAAGCGGCUCUCUGGUCUGUAACUGACGCUGAGGCUCGAAAGCGUGGGGAGCGAACAGGAUUAGAUACCCUGGUAGUCCACGCCGUAAACGAUGAGUGCUAGGUGUUGGAUCCUUUCCGGGAUUCAGUGCCGCAGCUAACGCAUUAAGCACUCCGCCUGGGGAGUACGACCGCAAGGUUGAAACUCAAAGGAAUUGACGGGGGCCCGCACAAGCGGUGGAGCAUGUGGUUUAAUUCGAAGCAACGCGAAGAACCUUACCAGGUCUUGACAUCCCGAUGCUAUUUCUAGAGAUAGAAAGUUACUUCGGUACAUCGGUGACAGGUGGUGCAUGGUUGUCGUCAGCUCGUGUCGUGAGAUGUUGGGUUAAGACCCGCAACGAGCGCAACCCCUAUUGUUAGUUGCCAUCAUUCAGUUGGGCACUCUAGCGAGACUGCCGGUAAUAAACCGGAGGAAGGUGGGGAUGACGUCAAAUCAUCAUGCCCCUUAUGACCUGGGCUACACACGUGCUACAAUGGUUGGUACAACGAGUUGCGAGUCGGUGACGGCGAGCUAAUCUCUUAAAGCCAAUCUCAGUUCGGAUUGUAGGCUGCAACUCGCCUACAUGAAGUCGGAAUCGCUAGUAAUCGCGGAUCAGCACGCCGCGGUGAAUACGUUCCCGGGCCUUGUACACACCGCCCGUCACACCACGAGAGUUUGUAACACCCGAAGUCGGUGAGGUAACCUUUUGGAGCCAGCCGCCUAAGGUGGGACAGAUGAUUGGGGUGAAGUCGUAACAAGGUA